CUCACUCGCUGACGCUGUCUUUCCGCCGAGGUGGACGUGAGUCCUUUUCAUUUACAGCUCUUCUUCCAGCUAGCAAAUUUUUUCCUCUCCAGUUCUCAUCCCUCCCCAAAGGAAGGGGAGGAAGGAGGUUGUGUGUGUUUUUCCUUGAAAUUUUUAUCACAAAAUUAUAAUACACUCAAAGGGAAACUCACCGUCAUGAAAAAGCAGUGCCUUGUCAACGGGGUUUCCUCGCCAUCACAUCACGGGCCGGCGGGGCAGUGGCGCUCAUGCAGAUAGCCGCAACUACAAGCAGACAGCCCCGAGGAAAUCACCAACACGACUGCACAUAAUGCCUGUACUACCAGAACAGAUAAAAAUUUAAGACUGAAUGUACUCGGAAAUGCACUUGAGGGAAUUAAACGAAUCUGUUCAUUUUUUCAAUCAAA